CCCAGACUCCUACGGGAGGCAGCAGUGGGGGAUAUUGCACAAUGGGGGGAACCCUGAUGCAGCGACGCCGCGUGGGUGAAGGAGCGUUUCGGCGCGUAAAGCCCUAUCGGCAGGGAAGAAGGAGGACGGUACCUGACUAAGAAGCCCCGGCUAACUACGUGCCAGCAGCCGCGGUAAUACGUAGGGGGCAAGCGUUAUCCGGAGUUACUGGGUGUAAAGGGGGCGCAGACGGCAGCGCAAGCCAGGAGUGAAAGCCCGGGGCCCAACCCCGGGACUGCUCUUGGAACUGCGCGGCUGGAGUGCAGGAGGGGCAGGCGGAAUUCCUGGUGUAGCGGUGAAAUGCGUAGAUAUCAGGAGGAACACCGGUGGCGAAGGCGGCCUGCUGGACUGCGACUGACGUUGAGGCUCGAAAGCGUGGGGAGCAAACAGGAUUAGAUACCCUGGUAC
rnacentral:rRNA from 1 species